UCAACAACAACAAUAGUUUCAUAUCCUCAACAACAACACUCUAACAAUUGCAUAUCUUUAACAACAAGCUCAAUAUUCAUCAGUCACAAGUUCCAUAGAAAGGCACUCACAAGAUCAGCAACACACAAGAUCAAGUUCACCAAUAAUAAAGAAGUGCAAUGCAAUGAAAUGCAAUGUCAAGUAUAGUGAUGCAUGUCUAACCUAGUGAUACACA
rnacentral:lncRNA from 1 species